AAGUUUUCAUUACAAACUAAUAAUCACUGUUACAACCAAGUACCACGUAUACCAUCUAAUAUCCACCAAUAUUUUCCCGUGAGGGUGGCAAAUCCCAAAUAUAUAAAUACCUAAAAUACAUACAAUAAAUAAAACUUAAACUAAUCUACCUUUAGUUGCAAUCUCCCGAAAAUUAAUGAACCUAGCCUUGGAUAUAAGUCAGCAUGUGUUUCCGUAGAUAUGAGCUCCAUCACCGGCUACCUUGUGUUGCAGUAAUGGUAGCAUUUAGAGGCAUAUGGGGAUCUCUGUCUAGUAAUAACCACUUGGCAUAUGCGUGACUAUUUCAUGGAUCUGGUUUCAAUAGGAAGCUUCCAUGCAUUUCACAAAGUAAUUUUUGUCUCUGCUUCAGGAGGAAAUGGCCACUUUCCAGGUAGUGUAGCUAAUGUUGCAUCAUGGACCAUGACUAUUGCUGCAAGCUCCAUUGAUGUAGUACUGCAAUCUUUUAUAUAUCUGGGAAAUUCAAAGAUCAUAAAGGUUAUAUUCAAUAUAUGCUCUUUAUAUAUUCCCAGGCAUUCCCAUACAUAAUGAAAGGUAUCGUCUUCUAUAAACAAGAAAAUUCCAAAAUACAAAUAACAAAAAAUAUCAAUAGAUAUUUAAAAGGCUUUGCACAUACUAUUUUUAGUUGUUCUAAGACACAACUUUUUCCACUUGUACUAGCUAUUACAAAAGCAAUACUCUAGACCCUUUUUUAGUUACGGGGAAGAUUGUGAUUUGUGCUAUGGAAUCAACUGCUGAUGCAAGGCAGAAAAAGGUCCAAAUCAACCCAUAGAAUCUAAGGGCAUAUACAGUUCUAGACAAAAAUUGAAGGUCCCAAUCAUCUUAAUAAUUUAUGUAUGAACAAUUACUAAAACUUAACUUAAUUGACAGGAAAAGAGUAUGUAAUAUGUUGCUCACCUGUUGCCUGUGAAAACAUCUCUAGUGAUCCCGACCUUCUUGACGCACUAGAAGCAUAUCUUUUCAAGAGUGCAAGCAAGAUUUUUCCCCCAAAGAUCACCUCAAAGUAGAGAUUAGCUUGUAAGUUACAUCUAAUCACCUCAAACAACUAAUCUAGCUGUCCAAUAAUUGCAUUCAGCAGUAUAUAUAGGUUCCAUCUAAGUAUGAAUGUUAUUUUACACCAACUAUGAGAAAGAUUGUAGAAGGGGGGGGGGGUUGAAUAAAAUCUUUCACAAAUUUAAAAGAUUCAAGAACAAUACACUAAGAACACAAUAAACAGAAAAACACCAAGUAUUAAAAAUACGGGUGGAUUGAAUGAUCCACCCGUGAGAUUUUAUAUAGAAGAAUCUGUGGAUUGUUUUACAAUUCGCACAGCUGCUGGUUCAUCACUCAAACAAGUUCUAACUCUCAGAUUUUUCUCUCAAGUAAUUUGAACAAGUUCAACUGAUGCUACUAACUCGGUUAUAUACUCCAAGUUUUACAAAGCAUUUAGCUAGAUUACAAAAUGCACUCUAACCUAAAAACAAUGCUGCACAACUUUGUCUUAUGCAUGCUUUCUGAGAUGUCUUCAUCUUUGACCAUCAUCUUGAUUUGAUCCAGAUUGCACUGCAUGAGAUAAGUAUGUUUCUGCUUCUUCUUUAUUUUCCUAAUUAGGCUUCCAUGUCUAUUUUAGUGUAAUUCGAUCCAUGUGAUUUGUCAGACUUAAGCUCUAGUCACUUUCAACUGCUCUUUGCUUCAUCAGUUGAAAGUUCUGGUUGCUUUCAACUGCUCUUGACUUUAUCAGUUGAAUGCCUGGCUCAUCAGUUGAAUGAAUUACAAACUCCAUCAGUUGAAUGCUGUUCCAGUCUCAUCAGUUGAAUUCCUCAGCAUCAUCCGUUGAACACUUUGUCUUCAGUUGAAUGCUUGAUUUUCAUCAGUUGAAACAUCAUCCAGUCUUCAUCAGUUGAACAGUUACAUCUCAUCAGUUGAAUAUCCUUCACUUAGAUAAAAUUACAUGGCAUUGGAUAUUUACAAUUAGCCAUCCUAUUCUACCCAUCCGUUGAUAAUUCCCAAAGACAAGAAAUGUAACAAUUACAACUGAAAUUUGAUAAAGAUUCUAAGUAAGACAUGUUACAAAAUGUUUAUGUUAUCAUCAAAAAUUAUUGAUUCCUAACAAUCUCCCCCAAUUUAUGACUGGAGAAGAUGCAGACAUAAAUUCUACACUUGAUGAUAACAAAACAUUAAUAAAAUAAAAUGCAGAAUUUAAAUACAAGAGUUAGAAAAGAUUACAGAUGAUUAUGCUCCUCUAGACUGAGCAGUUACUUGUUCCUAGAAGAUCUUCUUCUUCUGGACUUAAGUUUUUCUUCAAGAAUAUUAAUCUGCUUCUGAAAGAUCCUGUAGAACCAUUCUUCAUCACUAUCUUGUCUGUUGAGCUUGGAUUGGAGAGUCUUCAGAGUAUUCAAGCUAGCAACCUUGAGUUGAUCUUUAGGUCUGAAAAAUCUCCUAACACCUUGAUUGUCCCUAAAUUCCAUGACUGGAGUAGGUUCAUGAUGAAUUUUCUUUCCAGUGUAGGGAAUUUUCAGCCUUCUUUGUAGACUAGCAUCUGAGUUCCAUUCCUUCCUGAUCUCAAGGAUUCUCUUUAGUACCAUUUGCUUUGCAGGUGGUGUAAAUCCUCCAGUCCUCUUCAUAGAUCCAUAUAUUUUUGUUAGAGAACUGAAUCCCUCAGAAUUCAGAACUCUGUGAAGAGGCCAGAUGACAUCACCCUUGUUUUUGUAAGAGAAUACCAAUCUUUCAGGUAACUUUGAAGUUGCUUCUAUUCCUCUUACUUCUUGAAGAUCAUCCAGCUCCAGCUCCAACUCAGAAAUUUCUUCAAUGUUAGCAAUGAUGAGAUAGUCAUCAGGAUUUUCAGGUUCUUUUGGAGGUUUAGGAGGGUUAGCCAUCCUCUUAGCCACAGACUUGACUUUCUUCUUUGGCUUGGAAGAUUCUUGAACAAGAAAAGCUGGAAUUGGGAUAUCUUCCAAGUCAAUUGGCUCCUCCUUUGGCAUUAUUGGCUCAUCAUGGAAGUUGACAUCUGGAUGUACUACUGUGGUGUCCUUGAUUGGAGAAGAAGGCUUUGAGAUAGGCUUUUCUGGCACUUCUUCUCUUCUCUUGGCUGCCUCAGGCAUCUUAGUCUUAGAUUUGACUCUCUUUUUCUUUGGAGAAGAUUCAAGAGGCAAUCUUUUCUCAUUUAAAAGCUCAGCUGCCAACUCCUCUUCCAGCUCAAUAGCAUACCUUUCAUCAACCUCUAUUUGGUUCAAAGAGAGUUGGGAUUCAAACUCCUCUUUUUCACAUUCUCUGGCCACCUCUUCAGCUUUUGCAAAUGAGUAGUGAGGAUGGCCAGUUCCAAUAAACAGCUUCUGGCCUUCUCUGUAGAUGAUGGCAAAAUGAGCCUUUAAGGCCACAUCUGCACAAUCUUUAUAACUUUUGAUUUCUUGGCCCAAAAGCUUGUAUUCAUUUUUGUCAGGCCUGGCUAGUGGAAAGUAGAUUGAGCUUGAGUCUUUUCCAGGCCUGGAGUAACCACAAUUGUUUGGAAACAGAAUUGGCUUGAACUCAUUCAGAAAUGAUGGCUCACCCUUUUCUGUCUUGGAGGGAAUAACAAUCUCAGGUGUAAUUACCCUGAGAAUUGUGGUUGUGGUUGGAAAAGAGAUUUGAGCUGUGGUGGCUGUAGAAGAUGUAGACGAUUUCUUGCCCAGUUGAGCCACUCUCUUUGCAAUGGAGUCCAAUUCUUUCAUCCUUGCAAUCUUCUGCUUUUCCCUUUCAGUGUGGAAAGGGGGUAGAANNNNNNNNNNNNNNNNNNNNNNNNNNNNNNNNNNNNNNNNNNNNNNNNNNNNNNNNNNNNNNNNNNNNNNNNNNNNNNNNNNNNNNNNNNNNNNNNNNNNNNNNNNNNNNNNNNNNNNNNNNNNNNNNNNNNNNNNNNNNNNNNNNNNNNNNNNNNNNNNNNNNNNNNNNNNNNNNNNNNNNNNNNNNNNNNNNNNNNNNNNNNNNNNNNNNNNNNNNNNNNNNNNNNNNNNNNNNNNNNNNNNNNNNNNNNNNNNNNNNNNNNNNNNNNNNNNNNNNNNNNNNNNNNNNNNNNNNNNNNNNNNNNNNNNNNNNNNNNNNNNNNNNNNNNNNNNNNNNNNNNNNNNNNNNNNNNNNNNNNNNNNNNNNNNNNNNNNNNNNNNNNNNNNNNNNNNNNNNNNNNNNNNNNNNNNNNNNNNNNNNNNNNNNNNNNNNNNNNNNNNNNNNNNNNNNNNNNNNNNNNNNNNNNNNNNNNNNNNNNNNNNNNNNNNNNNNNNNNNNNNNNNNNNNNNNNNNNNNNNNNNNNNNNNNNNNNNNNNNNNNNNNNNNNNNNNNNNNNNNNNNNNNNNNNNNNNNNNNNNNNNNNNNNNNNNNNNNNNNNNNNNNNNNNNNNNNNNNNNNNNNNNNNNNNNNNNNNNNNNNNNNNNNNNNNNNNNNNNNNNNNNNNNNNNNNNNNNNNNNNNNNNNNNNNNNNNNNNNNNNNNNNNNNNNNNNNNNNNNNNNNNNNNNNAAACUAGCAACCUUGAGUUGAACUUUAGGUCUGAAAAAUCUCCUAACACCUUGAUUGUCCCUAAAUUCCAUGACUGGAGUAGGUUCAUGGUGAAUUUUCUUUCCAGUGUAGGGAAUUUUCAGCCUUCUUUGUAGACUAGCAUCUGAGUUCCAUUCCUUCCUGAUCUCAAGGAUUCUCUUUAGUACCAUUUGCUUUGCAGGUGGUGUAAAUCCUCCAGUCCUCUUCAUAGAUCCAUAUAUUUUUGUUAGAGAACUGAAUCCCUCAGAAUCCAGAACUCUGUGAAGAGGCCAGAUGACAUCACCCUUGUUUUUGUAAGAGAAUACCAAUCUUUCAGGUAACUUUGAAGUUGCUUCUAUUCCUCUUACUUCUUGAAGAUCAUCCAGCUCCAGAUCCAACUCAGAAAUUUCUUCAAUGUUAGCAAUGAUGAGAUAGUCAUCAGGGUUCUCAGGUUCUUUUUGGAGGUUUGGGAGGGUUAGCCAUCCUCUUAGCCACAGACUUGACUUUCUUCUUUGGCUUGGAAGAUUCUUGGACAAGAAAUGCUGGAAUUGGAAUAUCUUCCAGGUCAAUUGGCUCCUCCUUUGGCAUUAUUGGCUCAUCAUGGAAGUUGACAUCUGGAUGUACCACUGUGGUGUCCUUGAUUGGAGAAGAAGGCUUUGAGAUAGGCUUUUCUGGCACUUCUUCUCUUCUCUUGGCUGCCUCAGGCAUCUUAGUUUUAGAUUUGACUCUCUUUUUCUUUGGAGAAGAUUCAAGAGGCAAUCUUUUCUCAUUUAAAAGCUCAGCUGCCAACUCCUCUUCCAGCUCAAUAGCAUACCUUUCAUCAACCUCUAUUUGGUUCAAGGAGAGUUGGGAUUCAAACUCCUCUUUUUCACAUUCUCUGGCCACCUCUUCAGCUUUUGCAAAUGAGUAGUGAGGAUGGCCAGUUCCAAUAAACAGCUUCUGGCCUUCUCUAUAGAUGAUGGCAAAAUGAGCCUUUAAGGCCACAUCUGCACAGUCUUUAUAACUUUUGAUUUCUUGGCCCAAAAGCUUGUAUUCAUUUUUGUCAGGCCUGGCUAGUGGAAAGUAGAUUGAGCUUGAGUCUUUCCCAGGCUUGGAGUAACCACAAUUGUUUGGAAACAGAAUGGGCUUGAAUUCAUUCACAAUUGAUGGCUCACCCUUUUCUGUCUUGGAAGGGAUAACAAUCUCAGGUGUGAUUACCCUGAGAAUUGUGGUUGUGGUUGGAAAAGAGAUUUGAGCUGUGGUGGCUGUAGAAGAUGUAGAUGAUUUCUUGCCCAAUUGAGCCACUCUCUUUGCAAUGGAGUCCAAUUCUUUCAUCCUUUCAAUCUUUUGCUUUUCCCUUUCAGUGUGGAAAGGAGGAGGAAUUUGGCUGAUCAAUUCUGCAGGAGUUGGUAAUUCUUUCUCCCCCUUUUUGUUAGCAGCAAGUGUAGGGGAUGGACUGGGAAGUGAAACACCAGAGGCAAGAAGAAGAUGUUGAAGCAGUCCAGUCUGAAUUCUUUGAUGCUGCAACAUCUCAUCCAUUCUAGAGUUUAAGGUGUAGACAUUUCCUUCCAGAGCUUCCACUUGCUUCUCCAAUUGUAGUUGUUUUUGCUCAGAUGCAGAAAGAGCUGAUUUGACCUGAGCUGGAAGCUUUUCAUCAAUUUGCUUGGUCAGAUCAGUCUUAACAGAGGCAAUAAGAGAAUUGAGAUACUCUAUCUCAUGCUGAAAAUGGAGAGAUUGAAACUUGUGAAGCUUGAGAUUGUCUAGUGCUUGACUGGCAAUGGUGGCAGAGAUGACUGGAGAGGAGGAUGAGCUUUCAGGUUGUGAUUGAAGAAUGGUGGAGGCUUGCCUUUCCAGCUCCAUGCUAACAACAAUUGCAUUAGCAGACUGCAUGGAGAGCCAUGAAGGUAGAGAAGUUGUAGGUUGUUCAACCAGGGAUUCCUCAAGAGCAUCAUUGAGGUCUUCAUCACUAUCAUCAUAAUGAAAAUCAUCUCCAGCAUUGGCAGGCAGAGCUGUAAAUGCCUCCUUUGCUCUAAGCAUUGAAGAUGUAGUGUGAAUCAGAUUGAGGUGCCUCUCAGCUGCUUGAUUGUCUUAUCUGGCAAAGUCUUGAAUGGAGGACAUCCCAUGAGUAAAAGUCUCAGGGUCUAGUGAAACACCAUCCAAUAUGGAUCUGUAUUCAGCUUGAAACUCUUGUUCACUAAACCCUUCAUUGACACCUGCAUUUCUCUCAAUUUCUCUCUUUUCUUGCAUCAAGGGCUCCCCUUGGCUCACCACACCACUCACCUCUCCCUCACUUACCCUUACUAAAGGGUCACUCUUAUCCUCUCCUUUUUCCUGGCUAGAAGAAAAUGCCAGACUCUCCACACCCUCUCCUUUUGCCAGCUCACUAGGCUGCCUCUCCACUCCAUAGCUCACUCCACUCAAUCCUAGAAGUGUUUGUGCUACCAUGUGAUCAACUGCUGUAGAAAGAGGUAAAUUAAUUGAAGUAGCAGCAGUUGUCAACUGAUGAGAGACAUCAGUUGAAACAUGAGUAGAGGAGGCAUUCAACUGAUGAGAGCUGUUAAGCAGAUCAGUUGAAGGACAAACACUUGUCAACUGAUGAGGGAGAUCAGUUGAAGAAAAUGAAGAAAUAGGUUUAGAGGCUGUGAUAGUUGAGUCUGUGGUGAUUGAUUUUAAAGGAAAAUCCACAGAACACACUGUCACAGAAGAAGGAAAUGGAAGAGAAAGAUCCAACAAAUCAUCAAAAUGAUGAUGAUCAAUCUCAGAUGGGGGCUUCUCCAUGAAAUCCAAAGAUGGAGAAUUUACAAGUGUGGUGUGAAUUAAUUCCACAUCCACAGAAGAGGUUGGGGAUUGUGUUUGAGUAGUAGAGAUGGUAAGAUCAUAAAUAUGGGUGAUUGGUUGAGAUGAAGAAGGGGGCUGUGACUCCACAUUUAUUGGAGUCACAUCAAUCUGACUUUGAGAAGUUAAAGGCAUAAAAUCCAGAAUGGAUGCCUGUGUGUGUGCAGAGUGCUUCAGUUUUUCACUUCUUAGCUUCUUUCUCCCAUAAGCUUUUAUUGGUGAAGAAGUGGUGUCCCUCCCCCUUUUUAACUGUGUCCCUGGUUGAGGACUAUUUUCAAUAGCAACAUCCUUUUGGGAGGAUGCUGCUAGGGAUGAGUUUAAUUCCAUAUUAACAUCUACAGUCUUUUGGGAGACUGCAGAGUGGCCAGGCUGGUCAACACACACCUCUCCAUCCUUAUUCUUAGGGCUUCUUUUAUGUUCACCCUUUCCCUCCCCCUCACAACCUCCAAUCACACUCCCCUCAGGUUUGUGUUUCUUGGAUUUUACAACAGAUGUCUUUUGGGAGGCAUCUGAGGUUGGUUUAGAAGACUUGUUUUUAGAAGGUUUUGCCACUUGUGUGGACUGUUGAUGGGCCUCUUCAACAGCCCUGAUGGCAGAAAGCAAAGAAGGUGAGGGUUGAGAAAGAGUAGUAGGAAAGCCAUGUACCUCUUUGUGCUUUCCAGCCUCCAUUGUUGGCAGGUACACCACCUCCAAGGAGGGGUAUAAAUUCAUCCUAAAGAGGUCUUUAAAGACUCUCUUUUCCUGCACAAAACUGGGAAGCUUGGCUUCCUUGUUAGUAAUAACUAGCUUAUCAUUGAGAUGAUUAGCUAGCAUCAUAAGAAAUCUGACAUAAUAAAUAUUCCUAGGUCUAUCAGUUUUAUCACCUAGUUUCUCCCCAAUUUCUUGGAUCAUCAAACCACCAAAGUUGAAAUAUUCAUUAGUCAGGUACAUGUAAAGCAUUUGUAAAAUCUGGGAAGUAAGAGCAUUGAAAUUACUAAUUUUACCAGAAAAUGCCUUAAUAAAAGCAUCACAUAAAUAACUCCAUUCUCUCCUAAGACCCCUUCUUUCUAUUUUACCUAAGGCAUCAGUUGGCAAAACAUAAUUCAUGGCAUAAAGUAAAUUAACCAACUGAUUAUCACUAGGCAAAGAUAAAACAGUAUCUUCAGGAAUCUUAAAGCAUGCUUUCAUAACAUCAGCAUUGACAGAAUGAAUUUCAUUAUUGACAGAGAAAGUUAGAGUUUCAUGCUCACUAUUAAACUCUGCAGAGGUCCACAUCUCCUCCACUAUUUCAUGGUAGAUGGUAGGAGCUUCAAGCAUAGCAUAAGAGAGCUGGCUUGACUUGAUGAACUCCAUCAUCCUGUGAUACUCCUUCUCCUCCACAGCCUUGGUAUCCACAAAUGACGCAAAGUUGUUCUUCUCAUAAAUAAACCCACUUGGUGCAGUAUACUUCUUCAUUGGUGCCAUUGCAGUUACAGAGAAAGCUUGAAGAGAAAUUAGAACUUGUUUUUGCACAGAGAGAGAAGAGAGCUUUGAGAAUUCGAAAGAGUGAGAUGAAAAGAAAUGAAAAUAAAUUAAAACACUUAAAUACUUUCUCAGAAAAUUGCUGUGAUUGGCUGAGAAAUUACCGUUGAGAAGAAAUUACUCUUAUUUAUCUCUACAAAAAUUACACACACGAUCGUGUGUAUAAAGUAGGUGAGAGACAAAAGAAAUUUCAACGGCUCAGAUCUGAUAAUACUUUCAACGGAUGAAAUAAGCGCCUCUUUAAACUUCCUAUUCAACUGAUGAAGAUCAGUUGAAGGCGUCUUCAACUGGUGUCAUCAGUUGAAUGAAAAACAACGCAAGAGGAUAUUGUUUCAAGCAUCAGUUGAAACAAUUUCACUAGUUCAUCAGUUGAAAUAUUAUAGACUUUAUCCAGAAUUAUAAUUAAUUCAAUUUUGAUAAAUCAAAAUUAAUCAAAUUCUGGCUGCCAAAUUACAGAAAAAUUCACUCUAAAUUAGGAGAAAUUUAACAUACCUAAUUUACUUACCAACCUUGUGAAUGUGGAUUCAUCAAGAGGCUUUGUGAAAAUAUCUGCAAUCUGUUCUUCACUUGGAACAAAAUGCAUUUCAACAGUACCAGCCAUCACAUGUUCUCUUAUGAAGUGGUAUUUGAUGUCAAUGUGCUUGGUUCUUGAGUGUUGUACUGGAUUUUCAGUUAUAGCAAUAGCACUGGUGUUGUCACAAAAUAUUGGGAUUUUUGAGAGAUUUAAUCCAUAAUCAAGUAAUUGAUUUCUCAUCCACAAUAAUUGUGCACAACAGCUUCCAGCUGCAAUGUACUCAGCCUCAGCUGUAGAGGUUGAUACAGAAUUUUGCUUUUUGCUAAACCAAGAAAUCAAUCUGUCACCAAGAAAUUGACAGGUGCCUGUUGUACUUUUUCUAUCAAUUUUGCAUCCUGCAAAAUCAGCAUCUGAAUAUCCAAUUAGAUCAAAUCCAGAGUCUUUAGGGUACCAAAUACCAAGAUUUGGUGUUCCCUUAAGAUAUCUGAAUAUUCUUUUUAUAGCAAUAAGAUGUGAUUCUUUAGGAUCAGAUUGAAAUCUAGCACAGAGGCAUGUAGAAAACAUAAUAUCUGGUCUACUAGCUGUCAAAUAUAAAAGAGAACCAACCAUGCCUCUAUAAUUAGAGAUGUCCACAGAUUUCUCAUUAGGACUUAACUCUAAUUUGGUGGCUGUUGGCAUGGGAGUCUUAGCUUCUUUGCAAUCCAAUAAAUCAAACUUUUUAAGUAGAUCAUAGAUGUACUUAGUUUGAUUUAUGAAUAUACCUUCCUUUACUUGUUUAACUUGUAAACCAAGAAAGUAGGUGAGCUCUCCCAUCAUGCUCAUUUCAUACUGACUUUUCAUUAGAUUAGCAAACUUCUUGCAAAGUUUCUCAUCUGUAGAACCAAAAAUUAUAUCAUCUACAUAAAUUUGAACCAGAAUAAAGGCACCAUUUACAUUUCUGUAAAAUAGUGUUUUAUCCACAGUUCCUCUGGAAAAAUGAUUAUCUAACAAGAAUUGAGACAGAGUGUCAUACCAUGCCCUUGGUGCUUGCUUUAGUCCAUAGAGUGCUUUUAAUAAAAAGUAAACAUACUCUGGAAAUUCUGGAUCUUCAAAACCAGGAGGCUGACUGACAUAUACCUCCUCUUCCAGUUCACCAUUUAGAAAAGCACUCUUGACAUCCAUUUGAUAAACUUUAAAGUUUGCAUGAGCAGCAUAGGCCAGGAAGAUUCUUAUUGCUUCCAGUCUUGCAACUGGUGCAAAGGUCUCAUCAAAAUCAAUUCCUUCAGAUUGAGAGUAUCCUUUAGCAACAAGCCUUGCCUUGUUUCUGGUGACAACUCCAUUCUCAUCCACCUUGUUUCUGAAUACCCACCUUGUUCCUACAAUUGUUCUGUUUUUAGGUUUGGGUACCAGCUUCCAUACAUUGUUUCUCUCAAAUUGAUUUAAUUCUUCUUGCAUAGCAAGAACCCAAUCAGCAUCUUUGAGAGCAUCUUCUAUGACUUUAGGUUCAUCCUGUGAAAGGAAUGCACUGUACAAACACUCAUCUUGAGUUGCUCUUCUUGUUUGUACAGAUGCAUUUGCAUCUCCAAUAAUUAGCUCAAAAGGAUGAUCCCUUGUCCACUUUCUUUGUGGUGGAAGUGAUUGUCUUGAUGAUGUGGCUUCAUUAUUGAAGUUCAGGUUUCCAUGUUGGAAAGCUCCCCCUAAAUUUGACAUCUCAUUAUUUCUAGACUGAUUGAAACUUUGAGACAUUCUUUCAACUGAUGAUCCUUGAGGUGUUUCAACUGAUCCCUCCAAUGUAGUUUCAACUGAUGCUUCAGUUGAAUUUCCAAUUGCAGUUGUUUCUUGCACCAGAGAGUCAUCAGUUGGAAUAUUAAUUCCAGGAUUAAUUCCAACAUUUUGAAUAAUGUCAUCAUCAUCAUCACUGUCAUACAGAUCACCUUCACCUUCAUUUUCAAAUCUGAGAUUAUCAUGAAAUCCUUCAUCUGAGAAUCCUUGAAUCUUCUUAUCAUCAAAAACCACAUGGAUUGAUUCCAUAACAAUGUUGGUUCUCAGAUUAUAUACUCUAAAUGAUUUUCCAUCAGAGUAUCCAACAAAAAUAGCUUCAUCUGCCUUGGCCUCAAAUUUUCCAAGAUUUUCACCUUGAUUUCUUAGAACAUAACACUUGCAUCCAAAUACAUGAAGAAAGCUAAUUGUUGGCUUCUUUCCUUUGAAGAGUUGAAAGGGAGUUAGAUUAUGAGGUUUGGUAAUUAGUGAAAUGUUUUGAGUGAAACAAGCAGUGUUCACAGCUUCAGCCCAAAAAUAGGUUGGAAGUUGAGCUUCAUUAAUCAUGGUUCUUGCAGCCUCAAUAAGAGUUCUAUUCUUCCUUUCAACAACACCAUUUUGUUGUGGAGUUCUUGGUGCAGAGAACUCAUGAAUAAUUCCCUCUUCUUCACAAAAUUCUUUCAUCACAGAGUUCUUGAAUUCUGUUCCAUUGUCACUUCUUAUCCUUCCAACUUUGACAUCUGGAUUGUUGUUUAAUGCCUUGAUAUGAUUGAUGAUGAUUUUCCCAGCUUCAUCCUUAGAAUGCAGGAAGAAAGUCCAAGUAAAUUUUGAAAAAUCAUCAACAAUCACUAAGCAAUAUUUCUUCUUUGAAAUGGACAUUAUGUUGACUGGUCCAAAUAAAUCCAUAUGCAAGAGCUGAAGGGGCUUCACAAUUGAUGAAAGAGAUUUGCUUUUGAAAGAGCUUCUCUUUUGCUUUCCUAGCUGACAAGCUCCACAAAGUCCAUCUUUGGAGAAUUCCAGCUUAGGUAGACCUCUUACCAAGUCCUUCUUUACUAACUCAUUCAAGGUUUUGAAAUUUAGAUGAGACAAUCUCUUAUGCCAUAGCCAACUGUCAUCUGAGCUUGCUUUGCUGAGAAGGCAAGUGAUAGAUUCAGACUUUACAGAAUUGAAGUCAGCUACAUACACAUUUCCUUUCCUUUGUCCAAUCAGAACCACAUUGUUGUCAUCUCCUUUGGUGACAACACAGGCUGCAGGAGUGAAAUUAACUUUGUAACCUUUGUCACAGAGCUGACUGAUGCUAAGCAAGUUGUGCUUAAGACCAGACACCAAUGCAACUUCAUCAAUGAUGACAUUCUCUUUUGCAAUCAAGCCAUAUCCCAUAGUAUAUCCUUUGCUGUCAUCUCCAAAGGUAAUGCUAGGGCCAGCUUUCUCCACAAACUUUGUGAGCAGGGAGGAAUCACCAGUCAUGUGCCUGGAGCAUCCACUAUCCAAGUACCACAAAUUCUUCUUGUGGUUUCCCUGCACACAUUUCACAAACAGAUCAAGUUGAUUUUGGUACCCAAAUUGCUUUGGGUCCAGAUUUGUUAGUCUUAGCAGCCUUUUCCACUUUCUCAACCUUUUCCUUGGAUUGAAUUGGUUCAAUCUUUGGUUUUGGUUGAGAAAUUGGAACAUCAACUCUGUUUUCAAACACAGGCCUUUGAGACAUGCAUAAAUUGUUCAUUCCAUGCAAGUUUGAAUGAAAUUGAGGCAUGUUAAAGGCAUUGAAAUAAGGAUUGAACAUAUAUGGCAUGUUAGGCUGAGAAUAAGGAUUGUGAGGCAAUAAACCAGGCAUCAUAUUCAUAGCAGAUAAAUUCAUGUGAGGAACAGAUGUCAUAGGAAUAGGCAAAGAUAAAUUAGGAGCAAUCACAGUUUUACAAUUAGCAGAUAAAUGAUUUACACUACCACACUUACUGCAGGUUUUCCUAAGAGCACUAGCAUUGGGAGUGUAAUUGGUGUGCUUGUUAACUCCUAUUUUGCCAUUUCUAUUUCCUUUCUUCUUUUUAGUCUCCUCAGAUUUAUGCUCACUAGUAUCCAACUUCUUCUUGUUCUUGUUACUGGAAUUAAGAGUGUUAUUAACACUAUCACUGGUCUCAGAAGAACUAUUCUCACCUUUAACAAAAUUCUUUUUAACAGGACCAUAUUUCUUGUUAAGCUUCUUGAGAACACUCUUGUCAACUGAUGAGUUUUUGUUCAACUGAUGACUCUCAUCAGUUGAGACUUUGCUCUUCAACUGAUGAUCAUCAUCAGUAUUCUCAUCACCUGAACUGUUCUCAGAUAUCUCAAGCACUUUCUUAUUCCUCUUCCACUCAUUCUCUACAAAGGUCUCUCUACCUUGCAUGUUGAUGAUAUUGGUGGAAACAUCCCUACCAGAUUUCCAUUUGGCAAUAAUCUCUUGUUCCUUAUCAAGCUGCUUUCUUAUGAUCUCUUCUCUUUUCAGAACAACCAAGAGAUCAUCCUUGGCUGUCUGACACUCAAUUUUCAGCUUCUCAAACUCAAUAAAUUGAGCUUCUAAGACACUGUUUCUAUCACUAAGAAAGGUGUUAGCUUCCUUAAUUCUACUAUUUUCCUUAGUGAGAGAUUUUAAAGAAACAUGCAAAUGAUACAAUUCUGUAGACAUUUCAUUAAUGGUAGCAUUGCAUUCAUCUUUAGUUAACUCAACUAGGUUUGUAGUGAAUACCUGACUACUGCUUCCAGUGUUUUCUUCUUGAUCUGUGGAGUUGGCCAUUAGAGCUAGAUUGACAAACUCCUCCUCUUCAUCAGAAUCAUCUCCAGCUGCCCAAUCAUCCUUUGUGAUGAAUGCUCUUUCCUUUUGUUUGAGAAGUUCAUAAUAUUUCUUUUUGUAGUCAAUGUUUUCACUUGACUUCUUCUCAACUUUAGGCUUUCUGCACUCAUUUGCAAAGUGACCUGCAUUCCCACAGUUGAAGCACUUGAAUUUUGAUCUGUCUACCAUGCUUCUAUCAGACUUGGGAUUGCCUUUAAAAGAUUUUGCAGAAUUAAAAUUCUUUUUGAAUUUCAGUUUGGAGAAUCUUCUUGACAGGAAGGCUAGAUGUUCAUCAAUUCCAUCACUUUCUUCACCAGAAUCAGCUACUUCUUUCUCCUUUCUUCUUCCUUUGCUUGACUCUGAGCUCUCCUCUUUGACCAACUUCUCAGUUUCUUCAACUUGAGACUUUCCCUUGUCCUUGACAGUAUCCUCCAGAGAUGCAACUAGAGCCACAGAUGAAUGCCCUUUCUUUUGGCUUUUCUCAAUCUCUUCAUCUUGCUCCAUUUCAAGCUCAUAAGUCUUUAAGGUUCCAUACAGUCUCUCUAGAGUAUAGUCUUUAAACUCUUGUGUAUUUCUGAGAGAGACUGUCAUGGGUUUCCAUUCUUUGGGAAGAGCUCUUAAGAAUUUCAAGUUUGAAUCCUUAACUUGAUAUACUCUUCCAAAGAGCUUUAGACCAUUUAACAGUUUUUGAAAUCUGUUAAAUGUAUCACUCAAACUUUCACCAGCCUUGAAAUGGAAUGACUCAUAUUGUUGAAUCAGAAGCUGCAUUUUGUUCUCUCUCACUUGCUCAUUCCCUUCACAGAUGGUCCUGAUGGUGUCCCAAACUUCUUUGGCACUUGUGCAGCUAAUAACACUAUCAAUCAUUUCUUGAUCCAAACCAUUGAACAGAAGGUUCAUGGUUUUCUUGUCCUUGUGCACUUCUUCAGUAUCUUCUUGAGAAUAUUCAUGGAUAGGUUUUGGAAUCAUCUUACCUACCAUGUCUUCACCAUCAGCUCCCAUACUUGUGCAGACCUUCAUGGGGACAUGAGGUCCUUUUUCAAUGCAGUUCACAUAGCUUUCAUCAAUGGACAACAGAUGCAGAUGCAUUCUCACUUUCCAGUGAAAAUAGUUGUCUUUGUCAAGAACAGGAAUCUUCACUCCAGCAUCCUUCUUUCCCAUCUUUCUCUAGCAGUGUUGAUCUUUUUCCCUGUUUGUUGGGAACCUCGCUCUGAUACCAAUUGUUAUUUUACACCAACUAUGAGAAAGAUUGUAAAAGGGGGGGGUUGAAUACAAUCUUUUACAAAUUUAAAAGAUUCAAGAAUAAUACACUAAGAACACAGUAAACAGAAAAACACCAAGUAUUAAAAAUACGGGUGGAUUGAAUGAUCCACCCGUGAGAUUUUAUAUAGAAGAAUCUGUGGAUUGUUUACAAUUCGCACAGCUGCUGGUUCAUCACUCAAACAAGUUCUAACUCUCAGAUUUUUCUCUCAAGUAAUUUGAACAAGUUCAACUGAUGCUACUAACUCGGUUAUAUACUCCAAGUUUUACAAAGCAUUUAGCUAGAUUACAAAAUGCACUCUAAUCUAAAAACAAUGCUGCACAACUUUGUCUUAUGCAUGCUUUCUGAGAUGUCUUCAUCUUUGACCAUCACCUUGAUUUGAUCCAGAUUGCACUGCAUGAGAUAAGUAUGUUUCUGCUUCUUCUUUAUUUUCCUAAUUAGGCUUCCAUGUCUAUUUUAGUGUAAUUCGAUCCAUGUGAUUUGUCAGACUUAAGCUCUAGUCACUUUCAACUGCUCUUUGCUUCAUCAGUUGAAAGUUCUGGUUGCUUUCAACUGCUCUUGACUUUAUCAGUUGAAUGCCUGGCUCAUCAGUUGAAUGAAUUACAAACUCCAUCAGUUGAAUGCUGUUCCAGUCUCAUCAGUUGAAUUCCUCAGCAUCAUCCGUCGAACACUUUGUCUUCAGUUGAAUGCUUGAUUUUCAUCAGUGGAACAUCAUCCAGUCUUCAUCAGUUGAACAGUUACAUCUCAUCAGUUGAAUAUCCUUCACUUAGAUAAAAUUACAUGGCAUUGGAUAUUUACAAUUAGCCAUCCUAUUCUACCCAUCCGUUGAUAAUUCCCAAAGACAAGAAAUGUAACAAUUACAACUGAAAUUUGAUAAAGAUUCUAAGUAAGACAUGUUACAAAAUGUUUAUGUUAUCAUCAAAAAUUAUUGAUUCCUAACAAUGAAUAUAACAUUAUACAUGUCAAACAAAUAAUACACUAAUGAUUGACAAAAACUAUAGUAUCAAAUAAGGUAACUAGACUUGCAUAAACUGAGCAUCAGGAAUGAUAACAUAAUUUUAAUUGAUGCACAAAUCGGAAAAAUAAAUUAGAUUCAUUAUUUCUUCCGGAGGGAACUAUGCAGUAUGUCUUGUACUACAAAAAAGAGAUUUAAUUGAAGUAAUUGUAUGUGUAUGUACGUAAUGAAUUGAACAGAGGAUACCAAUUUAAGCAGGUUCAUCACCUGCUACUAAGGCCAUAUGUGUUUUCUGCAACCAGAAUUCUCAUAUGUUGCAUAAUGAAAUUUAUCCGAAAUUGUUGAAAAUAACGGGAGUGUGUGUGUAACUAGUUUGCAGUGGCACUAUACAAAAAACCAGAAUCAAGCAAUCACACAGUAGAAUGCAGUGUGAGACCUGCUAAACCAGUUUCUUUGAAACAAGUACUACAAGAACCAAAAUACCCUGUAUAGAAAAGUCGUGCCAAUAUUGUGUUUCUCGCUGAUCAACAAUUCAAAAACUAGACGUUGCCAAAUCUUUGAAACCAAGUUGGUACCUAAAAUUUUCAGAAGUCUGCGCAUAGAAAGAACAAUAAAAAAUCAUUCAAAAGUGACAAAUUAUAUUAAUAAACAUAUAAAAAAAAUGACAGGAAUGCUGGGCAUAACUAAGAACGUCUACCACAACUUUUACUGAGCACAAAAUCAUAACCAUACUUUACAAGCUAUACCCCAAAAUCAACCAAUACCUAUCACACCCACAAAGUUAACUAUGACACAAAACUUUAUCCUUUAAAAUCAAAAUCCAGCCAACGACCAUCACUAUAUUUACUCUAAACUAUACAACUACUGCUCAAAACACGCAUAAACACAUAGAAAUUCCAUAUAUAUGAAAACUUUAUCCCCAAAAUCAAAUACAAUCACAUAGUAAAAAUCAUUCUUUUACCUCAUCAUAAGGGGGGUUGUUGUUAAAGUUGGAAGCAAGGUCAACAUCGGCAUCAAACACUUGAACGACCGGUGGGUCACUGUCGAUGGCAAUAGAUCUGAGUGAGCUCUAUAGAAAAUCAGAUGGAGAGGACAAAAGAGAGAAAAAGGGAGGAAGGGGAGAGAUCUGGGAGGGAUAUGCUCCGUUAUAUACCAAGUAAACAGAGAGGAAAAGAAAGAG
rnacentral:lncRNA from 1 species